rnacentral:rRNA from 1 species
AACCUACCCACGAAGACUGGGAUAAUCUCUGGAAACGGGGACUAAUACCGGAUAGGUAAUCGGAAGGCAUCUUCUGAUUAUUAAAGGUUAAAAACACUGGUGGAUGGGCUUAUGGCGCAUUAGUUAGUUGGUGAGGUAACGGCCCACCAAGACGAUGAUGCGUAGCCGGCCUGAGAGGGUGAACGGCCACAUUGGGACUGAGACACGGCCCAGACUCCUACGGGAGGCAGCAGUAGGGAAUUUUCGGCAAUGGGGGAAACCCUGACCGAGCAACGCCGCGUGAGUGAUGACGGCCUUCGGGUUGUAAAGCUCUGUUGUAAGGGAAGAACGGUAGAUAGAGAAUAUCUAAGUGACGGUACCUUACCAGAAAGCCACGGCUAACUACGUGCCAGCAGCCGCGGUAAUACGUAGGUGGCGAGCGUUAUCCGGAAUUAUUGGGCGUAAAGGGUGCGUAGGCGGCCUGUUAAGUAAGUGGUUAAAUUGUUGGGCUCAACCCAAUCCAGCCACUUAAACUGGCAGGCUAGAGUAUUGGAGAGGCAAGUGGAAUUCCAUGUGUAGCGGUAAAAUGCGUAGAUAUAUGGAGGAACACCAGUGGCGAAGGCGGCUUGCUAGCCAAAGACUGACGCUCAUGCACGAAAGCGUGGGGAGCAAAUAGGAUUAGAUACCCUAGUAGUCCACGCCGUAAACGAUGAAUACUAAGUAUUGGGGAAACUCAGUGCUGCAGCUAACGCAAUAAGUAUUCCGCCUGUGGAGUAUGCACGCAAGUGUGAAACAUAAAGGAAUUGACGGGGGCCCGCACAAGCGGUGGAGUAUGUGGUUUAAUUCGACGCAACGCGAAGAACCUUACCAGGCCUUGACAU